GACAGAGGGUGCAAACGUUGUUCGGAAUUACUGGGCGUAAAGCGCGUGUAGGCGGUCGUGCAAGUCGGAUGUGAAAGCCCACAGCUCAACUGUGGAAGUGCAUUCGAUACUGCGCGACUCGAGUCCCGGAGAGGAUGGUGGAAUUCUCGGUGUAGAGGUGAAAUUCGUAGAUAUCGAGAGGAACACCGGUGGCGAAGGCGGCCAUCUGGACGGUGACUGACGCUGAGACGCGAAAGCGUGGGGAGCAAACAGGAUUAGAUACCCUGGUAGUCCACGCCGUAAACGAUGGGUGCUAGGUGUCACGGGUAUUGACCCCUGUGGUGCCGUAGCUAACGCAUUAAGCACCCCGCCUGGGAAGUACGGCCGCAAGGCUAAA
rnacentral:rRNA from 1 species